GGUCAAUUUGCACAAGAACAUAUUGCCCCCACAUGAAAACUCAUGGGAGAGUUUAAUCGAUCUUCAUGGAAUUAUUGCCCCAUUCAAUCUCUUGCUGCAAAUGGAAGCAAACCACGAGGUCCCAUCAAGUCCUGUCCUUUCCUGUCCUUUUAGCCUUAAUCAUGGUGAAGAAAGAGCAGCAAGACGGAAAGAGUUCUUUGAGAGGUUGGAAGAAAAGAAAAGUGGAGAGGCAGAAAGUAAGCAGCUGCAAAUGAGAGAUCUAACAGGAUGACAAAUUUACAACAGAAGUUCUCAUAGGUCAACCAAUAUGGUGAUGCGAAAUCAACAUAACUGACAUUACUUGCCAUUCAACAAAUCAACUCAAGCAUUAUGAUUUUCAUUCUGAUGAUGAUGCGAAAUGUUAUAUCCUAUCUAAUUGCAUCACUCUCAACUUUUAAGCAGAUGCUUAAAGGAGAUCCACCACUUUCAAAUUACGAGCCUCAUGAAACAGCCAAAUUUGUUGCAAAAGGACACACCCCUGAACUGAAAAAUGUAGGACCUAUUGCUAUAGAGAGAAGAAGAGUGGUGGAGGAGGAGAUAGACACAAAGAAGAACAUAGCUAUCAAUGAAUGAAUGAAGCAAAGAAGAAUACCAAUGCGGUUGAACUUAUGCGCUUGAAUUCUGAUUAUGUAGGUCAUGAUACUUAGCCUACUGAGCAUCAGCAUUAUGUAUUUUAAUUUUUGAAUGUUUUUGUAUUUUCAAGAUUGGUGAAGUUGUA